GGAAGUAGUCUGUAGUCACUACCUGGAAGAAGGGAGUUUCCAUUGACUCCAAGAGGGCACUCAGCAUGUCUGAAAAAUCAAUCGUUUAUAACAAGGUUGGUGAGUUCUAUCUGGGCCAUCAGAGGCUUCCUCUACCCUUAUGGCUCUGGAGCUGCUCACAGACUGUCAGGCGAAGAUUGAAAUCUUCAGCAACAAAUGCUGCCCCCACUGCCUGCUAUGGCAUUGUUUACUGGAAACUGGCAAUGGUUCUCCCAUAUUCUGCCUGAAUAAGGAAGAGCAUCUGCAGAGAUAAAAUGAGGUAACUCUAAAAACUAAAAUAGGACUUUCACUUCUAUCAGCACCUCAUAUUUUUAAGGAGUGCUGAUUUUGGACCCAACCAUGAAUGCCAGUAGUUGUGUAUGCACUGUACAUCCUGUACUCAAGGAGCAUAUCUACUGUUGCAGCCCAACCAGAAGGGAAAUCCAGGGGGAAUUAUCCUUUGAUACAGAAAAGUCUCAUUUUACUCUCAAGCCAACUCCUGUACUUCCUCUCUUCUGUACUAGAGCCUGAUCUCGCAUCCAUGGAAUUCAGUGGCAACACACCUAUUGAAUUCAGUUGUGCUGAAUUAAAAUGUAAUGGGUCAAACAUACGUGACAUACUAUAGUUAAGGUUGUAUGAUGAUUUCCAUUUUAACCUGCUGUUUUCAGUUACUGUUUUGUUUCUGAAACUUUUAGCUUUCAAACUGACAUUUUCCUAUUUUGGGCAUCUUAGCUGCAGUGUGAUAAAUGGAUUGAAGGUGCACAUGAGCUGAGGCAAGAGUUGAGCAGGAGCCCAGGACUCUAUCCCUGCAGAACCUGUAGGUUAUGAAGAGGUUAGCGUAGGAAGCUGCGCACCUUAGAAAUUCCACAACUGGGGAAAGCCUAAACUACUUUAAGACAUCAAGAGAAGUUACAUUAUUCCACUGAGAACAUAGUGGUAUCUUUACGUCACACUUGCCAAUGUUGGAAAUUAGGGCACAUGGAGGCUGGCCAGAGGGCAGCAGGAAUUCUCAUAUUGGGGGAACAGGAUUUUAUUGUUCUGUAAUCUGAAUUUGGUUACCCGAGCCCUCUUGAGGGAACUUCUCACAGUGAGGAAAGAAUUUGGGAUAGAAAAUGCAGACAUGGCCCACCUCACUCCCACAAAGCUGAGGAACACACACCACAGCAAAACGAGCGUAUUUAGGGAAAGGAAAAAAGUCAGAUCUCAGCAGGAAGACAUGGCUACUGCUUAAACCAGAGAACUCAAUAUG